AACGCACAUUGCGCCCGGCAGUAAUCUGCCGGGCAUGCCUGUCCGAGCGUCAUUUCAACCCUCGAACCUCCGUUUCCUCAGGGAAGCUCAGGGUCGGCGUUGGGGCGCUACGGCGAGUCUUCGCGACCCCCGUAGGCCCUGAAAUACAGUGGCGGUCCCGCCGCGGUUGCCUUCUGCGUAGUAAGUCUCUUUUGCAAGCUCGCAUUGGGUCCCGGCGGAGGCCUGCCGUCAAACCACUAUAACUCCAGAUGGUUUGACCUCGGAUCAGGUAGGGUUACCCGCUGAACUUAA
rnacentral:misc_RNA from 1 species